rnacentral:tRNA from 1 species
AAAAAUUUAGUUAAACCUAUAACACUGGCUUGUCAAGCCAGAAUUAUUUUAAAAAUAAUUUUUA